rnacentral:rRNA from 1 species
AUUGAACGCUGGCGGCAGGCUUAACACAUGCAAGUCGAGCGGAGAUGAGGUGCUUGCACCUUAUCUUAGCGGCGGACGGGCGAGUAAUGCUUAGGAAUCUGCCUAUUAGUGGGGGACAACAUUCCGAAAGGAAUGCUAAUACCGCAUACGCCCUACGGGGGAAAGCAGGGGAUCUUCGGACCUUGCGCUAAUAGAUGAGCCUAAGUCGGAUUAGCUAGUUGGGGGGGUAAAGGCCUACCAAGGCGACGAUCUGUAGCGGGUCUGAGAGGAUGAUCCGCCCAACUAGGACUGAGACAGGGCCCAGGCACAGACGGGAGGCAGCAGUGUGGAAUGUUGGACAAAGGGCGGGAGCCUGAUGCAGCCAUGCCGCGUGUGGGAAGAAGGCCUUUUGGUUGUAAAGCACGUUCAGCGAGGAGGAGGAUACCUGGAUUAAUACUCUAGGAUAGUGGACGUUACUCGCAGAAUAAGCACCGGCUAACUCUGUGCCAGCAGCCGCCGUAAAAC